AAUACAAACACUUCCACAGUUUCAAAUGGCUCGUUACAAAAUCUCAAAGUUCAAACACUCACUCACUCGAACACCCAUUCGCACCGCCCUCUAAAACUCACUCUCAAACUCACUCACUCACUCAUUCAUAAAGCAAAUUCGUAGCCCAGUGCUGAAGCAAAUUCGUUGCCCACUGUCACGAAGGUAGUCUCUCAAGCAAUCGUAGCUCAUUGUCGCCAUUCGUAGCCCACCGUGCCGAAGUAUGGAGCCUCGGAUCGAUGAGGAGCUAGAGAUCUUGCACCCUGGUCCGCUUCAGACGUCAUUGUUGACGCGACAACCAUAUCAUCAAUCAGAGGCCAUUUGGAAUGGCGAGGACCCAGGCCCACUUAUGUGCCGUGGUCGCACUAAGGAGAUGGCAAACGUUCAGAUGCAAGAUAAUCAAGUGAUUGGCAUUAUCAAAUUGCUAAAGCUGGAAGGAUUGUUUAGAGCCUUUUCCAGAGAGAUAGAUCAUUACCUAAUAUCGGCCCUAAUUGAGCGAUGGCGGCCGGAGACUCAUACGUUCCAUCUUCCACAUGGUGGGUGCGGGUGCCAAGCCCGAAGAGUAGGCCAUCCAGCACAGUCUUGAUCCACUAUUGGGAGCAAUUAGUUACAAUGUAGUCAGACCAGAUUGUGUGGCAGCCAUAUGAGGCAGACUUCGGCCACCUUCCUGAGUUCUGCAUUGCAGGGAGGGAUACGUGGACAGCAAAGGUGCCGCUUGUGUUUUUGCAUAGUAGAGAGAUACCACCCGGAUCAUGUCCUUCGACAGUUUGGGUUGGCGCAAGAGCCGCCUGACGAUGUUGUCUAUGAUGAUAGACUGCAUAGAAUAGACUUACAUGGGAAGGUGGAAAAGAAUUGGAGAGAGGAGCAUGGACCGUAUAUCAUUUCAUGGGAAAUGAGACGACAACAAGUUUGUCAUGCAUCUCCUUUGAUUGGUGAGAUGCCUCGCGAUCAUGCCUAUUACCUCUGGUACCGUCCAGUCACUCAAAAGUAUGUCAACUACAACAGCGCUAAAUUAGAUAUAAUGAUUCAAAGCCAUUUAGUGCUGUUGGAGAUGCUUCCUGAAGGCAGCCAAGCUUACAACCAUGUCCGGUGUGUCCUAAAUAAUGUGGCUGGCAUUGGUGGUGGUCCUGCAACAAAUGGGCAGGCAAACAAUGGGCUUGAACCAGCAGCUACUGCAACCCCAAGCACAAGCGCAGCACCUGUAAGUACACCGACCCAUGGUCAGCGUGCUACUGCAAGCCCAAGUACAAGUGCAGCUAGGGGCCAUGGUCAGCCUGCUACAGCAAGCCCAAGCACAAGUGCAACCAGGGGCCGUGGUUGGCGUGCAACAACCCCUCGGGUUGUAACUAGUCUUGAGAUGCCUGCACCCAUCCCGCACGCAUCUCCUCAGCCUGAGGUCCCUCCACCCAUCCCAGAUGCAUCUCCUCAGCCCAAGGUCCCUUCACCUAGCCCACCUUUGCAGCCCAAUUUUGAUCUUGGUAUUGAUCAAAAUUUGACCCCUUCUAUACUCCCCGAGACACCCUCAUAAUCACCCACCAGCUCUAGUGCACCCACUCCUGGCCUCUACAUAGAGCAUCAUUACCCACUUACCUCAUCCUCAUCUGACCCUCUAGGACCUCUGGCUGGGAUUGACACUCUACAGCCACAUACUGAUGUACCGGACAAGCAUCCCCUUCAUCAGCAGCCCUCACCCCCACGAGGUAGACUGCAAAGUACUAGAAGAGCACCCGCUUAUGGGAUAGGUGGACACAAAAUAGGACACCGAGGCAACUCUAUGCGCAAUUGUGAAGCCUUGAUGCUGCUUCAAAAGAAUGGUUUACAGAAGAGAAAUCCUUCCAUUGCUGUUGUGGCUACUCUAUUUGGAGACAAGGAAGAUGUUGCGUGGCUGGAGGAGAAUAAUUUGGUAGAUUGGGCUGAAGGAUUGGAUGAACAAUCAAGGCCUGGAACUUUUGAUGAUUCCCAGCAAAGAACAAUUGCCUUAGGUUUGAAUAAGAAGCGCCCUUUAUUGAUAAUCCAAGGGCCACCUGGUACUGGAAAGACAGGUUUGCUUAAAGAACUUAUAGUACUUUCUGUUCAACAAGGUGAAAGGGUGUUUGUAACUGCACCUACAAAUGCAGCUGUUGACAACAUGGUUGAAAAGCUAUCAAAUAUUGGAUUGGACAUUGUGCGGGUUGGCAAUCCAGCACGCAUAUCUUCAACUGUGGCAUCAAAGUCUUUGGGUGAACUUGUGAAAUCUAAGCUUUCCAAUUUUGUAAUGGAGAUUGAAAGAAAGAAGUCAGAUCUAAGAAAAGACCUUAAGACAUUGUCUAUAGGAUGAUUCUUUAGCUGCUGGCAUACGUCAGCUUUUAAAACAAUUGGGAAAGACAGUGAAGAAGAAGGAAAAGGAGACUGUGAAGGAAGUACUAUCUAGUGCUCAAGUAGUGCUUGCCACCAACACUGGUGCAGCUGAUCCAUUGAUACGAAGGCUGGAUACCUUUGACCUGGUUGUUAUAGAUGAAGCUGGUCAGGCAAUUGAACCAUCUUGCUGGAUCCCGGUGUUGCAGGGAAAGCGUUGUAUCCUUGCUGGUGACCAGUGCCAGCUAGCUCCAGUGAUUCUAUCAACAAAAGCCUUGGAAGGUGGACUUGGAGUAUCACUGCUGGAGAGAGCUGCAACUUUGCAUGAUGGAGUUCUUGCCACCAAGUUAACAACACAGUACCGUAUGAAUGAUGCAAUUGCCAGUUGGGCAUCAAAAGAGAUGUAUGGUGGAUCAUUGAAGUCCUCCUCAACUAUCUUUUCUCAUCUUCUUGUAGAUUCUCCAUUUUUUAUGCCCACCUGGAUAACUCAAUGUCCACAGCUGUUGCUUGAUACAAGAAUGCCGUAUGGAAGUUUGUCAGUUCGUUGCAAAGAGCAUUUAGAUCCAGCUGGCACAGGCUCAUUUUACAAUGAAGGGGAAGCUGAUAUUGUUGUGCAACAUGUCUUUUCUUUGAUUUAUGCUGGUGUUAGCCCAGUAGCUAUUGCUAUUCAGUCUCCUUAUGUAGCUCAGGUAAAACUCCUGAGGGACAGACUUGAUGAGCUUCUGGGGGCUGCAGGUAUUGAGGUAGCAACCAUUGAUAGCUUUCAAGGCCGGGAAGCUGAUGCAGUAAUUAUAUCAAUGAUGCUGCUCAAAUGCAUCUUCUGCAUUGAAUGUUGACGAGCUUCAUCAAGAAAUCUCAGUUCGUUCACUAAUACUCAUAAUUCCAUUGAUUAUUUUGUGGACACACACACGCACACACACAAACUCCUUGGAGUAUUUUCUACAAAAUCCAUAGAGGAGGUACAAGAGAACAAGAUGUUGCUGGAAAAGCUACAAGUCAGAAUGAAUGAAGCAGAAGCAAAGGCCAACAAGCUUAAAGUGUCAUUUGAGAAUCUUCUCGAAAAAGAAACCCGAGUCGUACUUGCUCAAGGUUCCACUUCAGCGUUGGUUCUACUUCAGUUCAUGGACUACAACAAGUGUAUUCAUGGUGUCCCUCAUAUUUUAAAGCUUUUUGGUCUGAGCUAACAUAUGCUGUACUUCCAAACACUUGCUGCUAUUUCUAAUAAAUUGUGAUGAUGAUGAUACUGAGCAUGGACAGCUAAGUCCGCAAGAGCUGAAGACUAUCGAUGCCAUUGUUGAAGCUAGCAAGUUUCCUUUGUCAAUCAUAUUAGUUGGAGUUGGAGUUGGAGUUAUGAACCGACACCUAUCUACUGGUUAGUGUGCAAGGACAUGGCCUAUGGUUGUGGACACCAGAUAAAUUUCUGAAGGAAGGAAGCAUAUCAUUGGCUGAGCAAGUGUGAUCAUGGGCUGGCACCUUCCAUCAUGGUUUGGUAGACUAUAAGCUAUAUGGACUACAGUUUUGAAGAGUCACAUAUCAGUGAAUCUGAGAUCAAUGAUUACAUCGAUAAACCAUUUGAGGAGCUGACAAUUGAAAAGUUUAAAGUCAAAGGUUUGAAUGGCAACCUCAGAUGUCCAUUCUGUGCUGGGAAGAAGAAGCAAGAUUACAAGGACUUGUUUCAACAUGCUUCAGGAACGGGUAAGGGUUCUACCAACAGAUCUGCAAAACAAAAGGCAAACCACCUUGCCCUGGAAAAGUAUUUGGAGACUGAUCUAGCAGGUGAAGUGGACCUUUAGCAACAUCCAGUUUUGCCACAACCGGUUGCUCUGCUUCCAAAGCUUGAUGAUUUGUAUGUAUGGCCUUGGAUGGGCAUUGUUGUUAACAUUGUAUGUACCAAUGAGAAUAAAGACAUUUUACUUGGUUCUCAACACUGGUUGACAAGGUUCAGGAAAUUUCAACCAGUGGAAAUUGUAGUAUUCCCGGAUGAGGGGAUAGGCCAUUGUAAAAUUUAGUAAUGAUUGGAGAGGUUUCAUGAAUUGUGCUAAAUUUGAGAAAUUGUUUGAAAUUGAGCAUCAUGGCAAAAAGGAGUGGAAUGCUCAAAAAAAAAAAAAAAUCUUGGCCCUAACUGCUACGGGUGGUGUGCACUCGCUGAUGACUAUGAUGCUGAAGGGGUGAUUAGUGAUUUCCUUCAGUAUAAAGGGCAAUUAAGAACAGUUUCUGACAUUGACAGGGAAGCAGCACAAAGCAGAAACAAUGUUGUGGCAGACUUGGCCAAUGAAAUCGAUAUUACAAAUGAAAAUCUGAAUGAGUUACAGUAUAAAUACAAUGAAAAGACCGUGUCCUUAAGUAGGAUGCUUGAAGAGAAAAACAGGCUGCACAAAUUUUUUGAAGAAGGAAGUUGCAGCGGCUUGCUCGUGAUAAUGUUCAUAGGAUAUUUGAAGAACAAGAAAAACUGAAUUACGAAUUGGAGACCAAGAAGAGGAGACUUCAUUCAUGAAGCAAAGAAUUGAACAAACUCUUGCAAAGACAUUAACUGUAGCUCAGCUUGCUUAUUUGCGGGAACAAUUCACAUUAUUACGUCCUAACAAAAAUGGAUUCAUCUACAUGCAGAACUUUAAGACAGUUACCUCUUUUCCUAAUCUUAUAUUUUCGAGUGUUUGAAUACUCUAUGGAGCCAUUAUAAAUAUUCGUGGAUUUAGUAGGGUAUGGUAAAGAACUCCACUAAUGCAAUGAAGGAUUAUUGGGCCCUAGAUUAUGCCAACAUGGUAAUGCUGUUCCAAAAUCAUAAGUUUGUUACUACUGAUUUCCUUCAUUUAAUUAAUGUAUUUCCUAAAAAAAUAUGUAAUGAUAAGAAUGGUGGCUGAUUAUCUACUAGUGUAUGUUACAGAUUAGUUCUAUUCAGUACAGAAAAAUGGAUUUUCAAGAAUUUUGUUGUGCAAUAUAUGUUCACUACGAACCAUCUUCUUGUUAUCUAUGUUUCAAAGACAAAUUUGUAAAGUUAAAAAAUUA